rnacentral:rRNA from 1 species
AUUGAACGCUGGCGGCAUGCCUUACACAUGCAAGUCGAACGGCAGCACGGGGCAACCUGGUGGCGAGUGGCGAACGGGUGAGUAAUGCAUCGGAACGUGCCAUUGAGUGGGGGAUAACGUAGCGAAAGUUGCGCUAAUACCGCAUAUUCUGUGAGCAGGAAAGCAGGGGGACCGCAAGGCCUUGCGCUCUUUGAGCGGCCGAUGUCAGAUUAGCUAGUUGGUGAGGUAACGGCUUACCAAGGCGACGAUCUGUAGCGGGUCUGAGAGGAUGAUCCGCCACACUGGAACUGAGACACGGUCCAGACUCCUACGGAGGCAGCAGUGGGGAAUUUUGGACAAUGGGCGGCAAGCCUGAUCCAGCCAUGCCGCGUGAGUGAAGAAGGCC